UACGGAGGGUGCAAGCAUUAAUCGGAUUUAUUGGGCGUAAAGGGCGCGUAGGCGGACUGAAAAGUCAGAUGUGAAAUCCCGAGGCUUAACCUCGGACCCGCAUUUGAAACUCUCAGUCUAGAGGGUAGAUGGAGAAAACGGAAUUCCACGUGUAGCGGUGAAAUGCGUAGAUAUGUGGAAGAACACCUGUGGCGAAGGCGGUUUUCUAAUUUAUUCCUGACGCUGAGGCGCGAAAGUAAGGGGAUCAAAC
rnacentral:rRNA from 1 species